GCAAGUCAAGGGGAAAAUCGUCUUCGAAUGGCGAGUAUACUGGCGGACGGGUGAGUAACGCGUAGGCAAUCUGCCCUUAUGAUUGGGAUAACCCUUGGAAACGAGGGCUAAUACCGGAUGUGAUCUGACAUUCACAUGUAAGUUAGAUUAAAGAUGGUUCGCUAUCGCAUAAGGAUGAGCCUGCGUCCCAUUAGCUAGUUGGUAGGGUAACGGCCUACCAAGGCGACGAUGGGUAGCUGGUCUGAGAGGAUGAUC
rnacentral:rRNA from 1 species